CCCUACGGGGUGCAUGGUCUGUGGCUAUCAUGUCGACGGUUCCGUCCGCCAGCCCUUGAAUCAGCGCUUCCCGGUCCUCCAACCCCAUCAAAGGUGGAUUCAUCUUGAACCGGCCUUCGUCUUUUCGAUCGGCUUCCGUGAAUACCAGGUAAUGGGGCGCAGUCUCGCAGGUCACAUCGACGCCUGACUCUUUGGCGGCCCGGAUCAACCGCAGGGACUCUUUGGUGGACACAUGGCAGACAUGGUACCGGCAGCCUGUCUUUUUGCACAGAGCCAGAUCCCUUUCCACCUGUUUCCAUUCGCUCCGACGAAAAUCCCCUUCCGCUGAGAAGUGUUCAUCCUCACAAUGGGCGGCGAUCACUUUGUUGCAUUUUUUUACUGCAUUCAUGGCUUCUUCCAUCCGCUGCGCCUUCUGGAUCCCCGUGCCGUCAUCGCUGAAUCCGGCAACCCAAGGAGCCAGCGCUUCUAUUUCGGAGAGC
rnacentral:rRNA from 1 species